GAGUUUGAUCAUGGCUCAGAUUGAACGCUGGCGGCAUGCCUUACACAUGCAAGUCGAACGGCAGCGGACCUUCGGGUGCCGGCGAGUGGCGAACGGGUGAGUAAAGCAUCGGAACGUGCCCUGGAAUGGGGGAUAACGUAGCGAAAGUUACGCUAAUACCGCAUAUUCUGUGAGCAGGAAAGCAGGGGAUCGCAAGACCUUGCGUUCUGGGAGCGGCCGAUGUCGGAUUAGCUAGUUGGUGGGGUAAAAGCCUACCAAGGCGACGAUCCGUAGCGGGUCUGAGAGGAUGAUCCGCCACACUGGGGCUGAGACACGGCCCAGACUCCUACGGGAGGCAGCAGUGGGGAAUUUUGGACAAUGGGCGGAAGCCUGAUCCAGCCAUGCCGCGUGAGUGAAGAAGGCCUUCGGGUUGUAAAGCUCUUUCGGUGGGGAAGAAAUUGCACGGGUUAAUACCCUGUGUAGAUGACGGUACCCGACUAAGAAGCACCGGCUAACUACGUG
rnacentral:rRNA from 1 species